rnacentral:rRNA from 1 species
CGCGGCCUAUCAGCUUGUUGGUGAGGUAACGGCUCACCAAGGCAUCGACGGGUAGCUGGUCUGAGAGGACGAUCAGCCACACUGGGACUGAGACACGGCCCAGACUCCUACGGGAGGCAGCAGUAGGGAAUCUUGCGCAAUGGGCGAAAGCCUGACGCAGCAACGCCGCGUGGGGGAUGAAUGCCUUCGGGUUGUAAACCCCUUCAGCAGGGACGAAAAUGACGGUACCUGCAGAAGAAGCUCCGGCCAACUACGUGCCAGCAGCCGCGGUAAUACGUAGGGAGCGAGCGUUGUCCGGAAUUAUUGGGCGUAAAGAGCUCGUAGGCGGUUCAGUAAGUCGGGUGUGAAAACUCAAGGCUCAACCUUGAGACGCCACUCGAUACUGCUGUGACUUGAGUCCGGUAGAGGAGUGUGGAAUUCCUGGUGUAGCGGUGAAAUGCGCAGAUAUCAGGAGGAACACCAGCGGCGAAGGCGGCACUCUGGGCCGGUACUGACGCUGAGGAGCGAAAGCAUGGGGAGCAAACAGGAUUAGAUACCCUGGUAGUCCAUGCCGUAAACGUUGGGCACUAGGUAUGGGAUCAUAUCAACGGAUUCCGUGCCGUAGCUAACGCAUUAAGUGCCCCGCCUGGGGAGUACGG